rnacentral:snRNA from 1 species
AGAAAUACAUGGCAGCAGAGAUACCAUAUCACAAAGGCGGUUUUCCCAGUACGAGGCUUAUGCAUUACACUCUGGAUGUGCUGACCCCUGCAAUUUCCCUAAAUGUGGGAAACACUACUGCAUAACUUGUGAUAGUGGGAGACUGAGUUCACACUCUCACCCA